CAUAGCGACUAUCGUGGCAUAUCAAUAAGCGGAGGAAAAGAAACUAACAAGGAUUCCCCUAGUAACGGCGAGUGAAGCGGGAAGAGCUCAAAUUUGAAAUCUUAAAGGGUUUCCCUUUACGAAUUGUAGUUUAAAGAAGUGUUUUCUGUUGGAGUUUCGGUAAAAGUUCUUUGGAAUAGGACAUCAUAGAGGGUGAGAAUCCCGUAUUUGACCGUUACUUUCCAGCUGUGUGAUACACUUUCAAAGAGUCGGAUUGUUUGGGAAUGCAGUCCAAAAUGGGUGGUAAAUUUCAUCUAAAGCUAAAUAUUGGCGAGAGACCGAUAGCGAACAAGUACCGUGAGGGAAAGAUGAAAAGAACUUUGAAAAGAGAGUUAAACAGUACGUGAAAUUGUCAAAAGGGAAGCGUUUGACACCAGUGUUGUUUAGUUGAAAAUCAAUUCAAUAAUUUUUGAUUUUAAGUAGUAUUGACUUCAUCAGCUUGCUGCUUUCUUUUCAGGAAUUAUUGAAUGCACUUUUCAGUUAACAAGUCAACAUCAAUUUCUUUUGUUGUAAAAGGGUAAGAGGAAGGUGGCUUACGCUUCGGCGUAAGUGUUUAUAGCCUUUUACCUCUGCAAUCGGAGAGAUUGAGGACAGCAGCGUAGACUCUUCGGGGUUAGAUACACUUGUGCUAAGCUAUAGCCUUGUAUAGACAACUUGUUGACUAUGCUCAGUCAUGUAGCUUACUCGCUUGUGCUAUUUUACCUACGCUUAGGAUGUUGACGCGCGUGUGUGCGU
rnacentral:rRNA from 1 species